rnacentral:rRNA from 1 species
UACGUAGGAGGCGAGCGUUGUUCGGAUUCACUGGGCGUAAAGGGUGCGUAGGCGGUCGGGUAAGUCUGAUGUGAAAUCUCACAGCUUAACUGUGAAACUGCAUUGGAUACUAUCCGGCUCGAGGAAUGGAGGGGAGACUGGAAUACUUGGUGUAGCAGUGAAAUGCAUAGAUAUGACUUAGAACACCAAUUGCGAAGGCAGCUUGCUAAACAAAUAUUGACGCUGAGGCACGAAAGCGUGGGGAUCAAACAGG